AUACGUAGGGAGCGAGCGUUAUCCGGAUUUAUUGGGCGUAAAGCGUGCGUAGGCGGUUUAUUAAGUUUAAGAUGAAAGGCUGGGGCUCAACUCCAGUUUGUCUUAAAAACUGGUAAGCUUGAGUAUGGUAGAGGUAAAUGGAAUUUCUAGUGUAGCGGUGGAAUGCGUAGAUAUUAGAAGGAACACCAGUGGCGAAAGCGAUUUACUAGGCCAAAACUGACGCUGAGGCACGAAAGCGUGGGGAGC
rnacentral:rRNA from 1 species